AGGGAUCAUUGCUGGAAGCGCCGCCAGGCGCGCCCUGCACCUUUACCCGAUGUGAACCUAUACCCACCGUUGCCUCGGUGCGGCCGGGUGCCCUCGCGCACCCCCCAACCUGCCCCUUCCCCCUCCCCGGGGGCGGGAGCGGCGAGGGAGCCGGCCCGCCGUUGGCCCCAACUCCAAACCUCUUGUUUGUUCCAAACCUGUACCUUCUGAGUUGAUUUUACACAAAAUGAAUCAAAACUUUCAACAACGGAUCUCUUGGUUCUGGCAUCGAUGAAGAACGCAGCGAAAUGCGAUACGUAAUGUGAAUUGCAGAAUUCAGUGAAUCAUCGAAUCUUUGAACGCACAUUGCGCCCGCUGGUAUUCCAGCGGGCAUGCCUGUUCGAGCGUCAUUUCAACCCCUCCGGACACCCCGCGCCCUCGUGGUGCGUGUGUGUGCUCCGGGUGUUGGGGCACUGCCGUGCUUUGUGCUUUGGCACGACGGCAGGCCCUCAAAUGCAGUGGCGAGCCCGCUGGCACACCUCCGAGCGCAGUAACCUACACCUCUCGCUUCUGGACGGUCCAGCGGUUGCCCGGCCGUAAAACCCCCCCAAC
rnacentral:rRNA from 3 species